CCCCCCCCGCCCCGGGUGUGGAGUGGCCGGCGACACGGUGGCCGGGCCACUCUCUGUCUUUGACCCUUUACGAGGGCGCCGAGCGACGAAACAGGAUAGAGACGGGAUCGUUUAGGAUAACGAGGGAUUUCAGGAAUUUUUACGUCCUUCAGAAAUCGACUUUCCGUGGAUUGCCGGCUGAUUGCCGUCCCGAAUAAUCUCCCUCUCUUCUUCUCUCUCUCGUGGCGCGAUCUGUGAGACGCGUAGCUUCGGGAGUGGAAUUUACGUUCGCGAGGAAUGCAUAGGUUUUCUCAAGUGUCUCUCUUAGACAGGAAUUCUUUCACAAUUUCACGCGCGCCUGCUCGAGCCUGGUAAAAUGUCAGAGCGCCGCCACCGCCAUUGCGUUUGUAUGAUUGUCAGUUAUGCGUGGUAAAAUAUCGCUGCCAAGGUUCUCGAAGAAAAUAACGUGGUCGCUGUCGCAAUAAUGGGAUAAUGAGAGGCGACAAAUUUGAGCGCGCGCGGAGGAUAAUAUUUCUUUUAGUCUUUCCUGCAUGUGUGUCUCUCGCGCACACACUUUGCCACUCGUCAGUCGUCGUGCAUUAAACCUUGCCAUGACAAAAUCCAUAGAAGUAUACGUUUCGAGUAGCGCUCUUCUCUCUCUCUCUCUCUCUCUCUCUCUUUCUCUCGCUCUCUAUUUUUUUUCUUUUUUACUCUUCUCUCUGUCGCUGUCAGUUCGUCUCCAGGCCGAAUCCGUGAUAGACGUGUGUUCUCUCUUUGUACGAUCGAAAAUUCGAGAGUCGUAUACGACAUACGUCUGCAUCCGCACACAUGCACGAUGCGUAAACGUGACUCAAAAUUUCUAAGCGCUGUUAUGUGUCGGUUCGGAAUGUCACCAUAGCCGUCUAACAAAAGGGCAAUCGUCGUCCAAUAGGCAACCUUCGUCCCGUCGCGCAGGUACACGAAUCUCCGCGGCGUUGUCUCUUGGCCACGCUACGAGGAUCUACGAAAGAAUUCGAGAAAACAGCCAGAAACGUACAUAAGGAGCCUGACCCGUCCAAAAGGACACAUUCAAAAAUCGAGAGUCCUCGGGCCAAGUUCGAUUGAACAACGCGUCGAAGAAUUCGUACUUUAAGCCCGUUGAUUCGCGAGACGGCUCAGACCGUAUACGGACUCCUAGACGUUGUCGUCUACGUGCGUGACGUGGAAAGCAUUGCGACUGCAGAGUAUUUGCUCCCCUUGUAAUAAACAAAUAAACGAUAGUGAGUGAAUAACCACAGUGCGAACAUUAACCGAUUGACGCCGACGCGAGACGCUCUUUGAUAUCGAUCAUCCCCGGCUGGCGACCGUCGAACACGUCGGCACUCGAUCCUCGGCAAUCGGCCUACCUACGUCGCCGUGGUCCGACCUCUUCCGCGUCGGAAGUCCCGAGGAAGCCAUAAAUAUCGUCCCACCGGCACCGGUAACACCAGUGCACGCCGGGAGCUGUUGAACACGCGGCACUCCAGGCGAGCAACAGAUAUAUCGGAGGCAUUCGUCACCGCGCGCGCGGCGUAGCAGAGCAGCACCGUGCAUGCGGGGAAUCGCGCCGACUUACAGGCUAAUUGAUCAUCGAAUAUGGAACACCGUCCUGUCCGCGAAACACUCGUACAAGCUGCCACGACAGCUGCCGCCGCCGCCGCCGCCACCAUUCACCGCUGCGUCGCACCUCCUUGCGAGAAGGGGCCGUUUCACGCGGGUUGCACCUGCGAUAAAUCGCCCGUCGCGAACGACGGUGUAACGCACCAAGAGGAUCGCCCGUUGACUCCGGAGGAGCCCAUUCCGCCGCGUCCCUCGAGCUCGCACGUUCACCCGAACGAGAACCGUAUUGCGUUACCGGCGGCCACGUCGCACGAUGAUGGUUUAAUCAUCGGAUACGAGGAUCCGCUGAUCGGUUACGUGGAAAAUGUGGAGGACGUAAUGUCGGAUCUGUUGAACCGAAUCUCGAUCCUGCCGUUCUUGCUCAGGCACAAGAAGACGAUCAUCAAGAUCGCGAUGAUGUUCUUUUGAAAAAGACUCUUUUUUUUUUUCCUAAGGUUGUUGUACGUGUCAAAUUGCUUAAUACGGGAUAUUCACGACGUCGACUUUGUUCUGGUAAAUGUAAAAAAUUGUGAAAAGUAGCGAUUAAACAGCAUUUCACUCCUACUUGAGAGUUCAGGUGUCAGUUUUUUACAAAGUAAUGUCAAGAAUGAUUGGGAUGUAGCCACGUAAUAAAUUCGAGGCGUUAAAUAUGUAGAAUUUUUGCAAGUGUUAACGGAAACUUGUUGCGCCUAGAGAGAAAGAGAAAGAGAGAGAGAGAGAGAGAGAGAAGGGGAGAAGGGGGCGAGAGAAUCCUAGAUGCCGGAGAACGUUGCGAUCGAUAGCUCUCCGUCGAGUUCUUUCUCGGCAAUUAUUUCAGAUUGAUAUCGAGAGACGAGACGAGACGCGCGCGCGCGCGCGCGCGUUCGCCCGCCGAGGAAAGAGGAGAAAGAAUCUUUUAAUUAUUCCCUUUCUUGCGCCCGGCUCGCCGUGCUCGUCGUAAUGUCAGCGAAAUCGAUAACGGGGCACCGCUGUAAUCGACACGGGAUAUGGCGUGCGCGUUAAUAGUUAAUUAUCAACCUACUGCGAAGCAAUUAAUGCAGCGGGUGCUCGCAAACGCGGCGUACAAAGCGGGCGCGCGCGCGCGCGCGCUCUCGACGAUAUUUACAGAUGGCAUCGGGACAGUAAAAUUAUUUCCGCGAAAUGCGCGAAUACCGCGCGUUACGCGGACCUGACGUUUCGUUAUCGCAUCGAAUUACUCCGCACCGAUAAAUCGCCGCUGGUUUUCCACUUUGACUCGAGGCACACGCGCUCGUUAUUUUUACUCUGUCGCCGCGUACCACCUACGUAAACGUCACACCAUCCCCCUUUUUUUUUACUUGUUGCUAGCCGCGGAGGGCGGGGGAGGGGGAGGGGAAUGAUUUCCAUCGCGAAAAAUUGAGGCUUAUAUUUAUAUAUACAUAUCGGUGGGAUCGCCCUGCUCGGAUCUCUCGCCGCUUUUAAUACACAGCCGCGCGCACGUGGCCACUUUGAAAGUGCGCGAUACGUUGUUAUCGGCUUAACGAUCAACUUUAAUGACCACAUCAGUUUAUUGGAUUGCCGGGGCUACAAUAGCCGCGAGUGUACUCCCCGCGAAAGGGGGAAAUUAAUUGCGUAUCGCGGAUACGCGAAACGUAUCGUCCGCGCGCGCGCGCGCGGCAGAGGGUGAGGAUAUUAUUGCGGGAGCGGGUGUUUUUGUCGGUGGCAGGCCGUGCGCCGCGACGCGAAGUUAAUUACCCGUUUACAAGAAUUAACGUAUCGGUAAUUUCGGCCUUGGGACCGAAAUAGAUCGAUGGCGGUAAUUGUUCCUGCGGCCUAAUAGCCGCACGCUAAAUUACGAGCGGAUAAGAUAAUCGCGCCCGAGCUAGCUCGCAACGGCCGAAUAGGCAUGUCCCGCAAAUAUUGACGGUGCGACGCGACGACGACGACGACGACGGCGCGACGUCGCGUUGGAGUCUCUUCCUGGUGCGAUAUCGGCGAAUAAAAUGCGUGUAAUAUACAUAUAUACAUGACUUUAAUCUCGUGGAUUGCGCAAAUGGCGGCACGUUAAUCGAAGAGGACGGGCGAAAUGUAAAAUUUGCGCAACGUUUUUAGGCACGUCAGCCCGAGUGUUUUCUCGGCGAAGUUUUUUUUUUUUUCCUUUUAGUGUUUGCUCACUAGCAUAUAAUAUGCAGCCUUGGGAUCGUUGCACACGUGACCCCGGCGGUAAAUGACUGCCUAUUUAGCGUCGAUUGGCUAUGACGGUUUCACGGAUUGUGUUUCGCGGCUUCGACGACGCUUGUGCAACUUUCAUCGUGGCCGAGCGGCGCGCGCGCGCGCGACACACGGGGAUUCUAAUAAUCUUUCCGAGUGACGUCCGUUAAAACCGCGUUUUAACGGAAAGCUAAAUUACCUCUGUCCGAGCGAGCAGCAGCAGCAGUAGCAGCCUUGACCCCGUAAUUAUUAAAGCGCAAUGGGUACGCGAGAGAAAUCGUAAAUAUUUUCUGAGAAAAUGCAUGAUGGAGGUUUCGCAACGAAAUCGCGAAAUCCUAAACGUGUGUUUAUUUACGCGAACCGAUCAAAACUCUUGCGGUUAAUUGUCAUGUAUAGAAAAUUAUAUAUGUGUAAUGGAAUAUAUUUGGUGCGCUUACCGAGAAUACCAGGAAUUUUCAGGAAAUCUUUUUAUCUUGUCUUUUUAUUUUGUGAAGAUCAUGGAAUCUUAUUACUCAGGAAAAAUGUUGAAUUUUUACACCGGAAAAAAGAUUGGCAAUAGCUACUUGAGUAAAAUGAAUGCCAAUUAGAUGUUUGGUUAAUAUAACUAAAAAGAAUUUUAAGUGUAACCGAAUGUAAUAAUAUUUGAUUAUCAAAUUUUGUAUUUUUAAUAAACUGGAUUAUGCAUUGUGGACAAAUUGUUACAUGCCAUUUACAGUUUUUACAAAUCGUGUUUUAUUUUUUUUUUUUCAAAUUUAAUGAUUAAAACUAAAGUGGGUUUUCUUUGUGAUUGUAUAGCUUAAGAAACAUUAAAAAGCUGCACAAAAAUAUUUUUAUUUGUAUUGAAGGAAUUUUUAAACAAAAUUAAAAUAAACGUGCCUUAUAAAAACGUUUUUUGGACAAAAUGUUUCACAAUCUUACGCAACAUUUGUAAGAAACGAAUGAAUACAUAACACGUGAAUCUUUAUUCUAUUAUUAACGCGUGACGUAAAAAUUAUAUAUAUGGGAUAAAAUAAGUCGUCCGAUAAGUGAACUUGAUAGUUCCAUGACGACAACGGAAUUAUGUACACCUGCCAAGUUAAAGACGAUGAUAUCGGCGUGUGCGUCAAAGGGUUAACGGACAAUGGCGUGCUGAGCGCGCGCGGGUGUUGGCCGAGUUCAACGAGUUAUCGGCGCUUCGCGGAAGUCAAGUUAUAUCGUGGCUUACAUCCGUAGGCGACGGCGGAUAUAUAAACAGCACGGAUCCGCGCGCGUACGUCAAAGUGAUGACGCGCUCUCGGAAGCGCGCGCGUGCGCGCGAAUUAUUUAGGAAGCCGCCGACUUCGUAAUCGUUUCAUGCACGUUAGACUUUUGCCUCCCCAACCCCCUCGUUUCGCCGCUCGCCCGCCUCUCCCGCGUUUACAUCGUUUCGAUCCCCCUUAACGUUCGGGUUUCCGGGUGAAGUGGCGAUGACGACAGCGACGUAGACGACGAAAACGAGGGGCGGCGGGGAGGGGGGGGGAGAGGACGGCAUUGACGGCGCGAGCGGAACUUCGACGGAGCGCAGAGUGGUUGGAUUUCGGAUCUCGGUGAAGAGAGCAGCGUAUGCAAGGGGGUGGAUGUGACGGAGAGAGCGACUGCGGCGACUGAGAGAGGCAGACGGAAGGGAAGGCGGGAGGGGGGAGGAGGGUGGAGUGGCUUGUACUGGUUGAACAGCGCGUGCCGCUUCAGUGCCAGAUGGCCCCGAGAGGACGAGCGAGCGAGACGAAGAUGGGUAGGUAGAACGCGAGAGAAGGAGGAGGGGAGUAAAGAUAGAGAGAAAUAGAAAAAAGAAGAAGAGAGAGCAAGAGAAACGAAAGAUUACCUCUCGUCUCUGGCGUCUUUGGCUCGAGGCUGCUGGUUGCGUAAGACGAAAAGAAUGGCAAGGAGCGGGAACAUCGGGGACAGAUCUCUCGGAGUCUAGAAUGAACGUCGGGUCGUUUCCUUUUUUUCUUCUUCUUCUUCCUCCAUCGAGGGGGAAUUUCGUGAGAAACGUUUAGCCCCCGUAGAUUUCGGGGUAUCUCGUCCGUGUAUAGGGGCGAGGUGACCGCUUUCCUUUAACGUGGGUGGCAUGGGGAUUGUGUUGUGUAGCCGGGAUCCGUUGGGCUCUCAAACAGAAGGACGAGUUUAUAGGCUCCGACUUAUAUAUACCGAUUAUAUUUCGCUUAUCUAGUUUCUCGCGACGAAGAGGCUUAUUUUGCAAACGAUCGGGUGUUUAUAGAGGCGAUAGCCGGCGCGAUGGGGAUGCUAAUGGGAGACGUGGCGGUGUGUUCGUAUGUUGCGAGUAUUGUUAUUGGUGCACGCGGUGAUAGGAGGAAACGAGGCUGACGUGGAUUCUCGGAACACACCAGAGAAAAGGCCAACAUUCGUGUCGGGAAUUACUUAUUCAAUCGCGGGAUCGUAUAGCGUUUCGUUGCUUGCGUUGUACGCGUUUCCCCUUAAACCCUGUUACCUCUUAUCGAAAUGCGUUUUCGUCGUUUCGACACAACGUUAGGUCCAAUGGAGUCUCAUAUCGAACGAAAGUCAUGGGCACGAAUGUGUAGACGUCCAAGUAAUUUACGCAUUACUCGAAAAUAUUUACGAAAAACAUAAUUUGUUGACAAUAAGUAUAUUGUUCAAUGCAUAAGCAUUCAAGUUUGUAAAAAUGAAUGGAGAAAUUACCGAGUUCCGUAUCUCGUGAAUCGAAAAAAUUAUAUUUGUGAAAUAAGAGGACUGCGUACGUGACAAAUUCUUUUAAUGAAUAUUUUUAUAGAUGAGAAUAAUCUUCCUAAUAAACUUUGGAAUAAUUAUAUUCUAUGCAGACUGCGCAUUUUGACGUUUGCAACAAUCAUGUUAUAAUUUAGCAUGUCAGUGCAACGUAGCGUUUUUGAUCGAAGCAUAGACAUCGUGAUACAUUUAAAUAAUAGAUAAGAUAGUAAUAAGAAAUGACUCUGAGAGAUAAUUUAAUCGUCUCAGACAUGCAUGUUUUAAAGAUUAGUAUUUAUUAUUUUUAUCAGUCUUUUAUAUUUAACCUUCGUGAUCGGCAGGAAACAGUUUAUAUUCUAAUACGCUGACAGAAAAAAAUGCUUAACUCAAAUAAAUAUCUAUUCGAAUAGUACCAAUAAUUAUACCAUAUUUUAUAGAAAAUCAAUAAUACUUAUUUAAAACAAGUAAUACUUUCUAUAAUUUAGAAAACAUUUCUUAUUUGAAAUAAAUAUUCAUUUUCUAUAAAAUAUGUUUAUUUAUUUUAUUUGAGUUAAGCAUUCCUUUCUGUCAGUGUGUAUGGUUUAGUAUUCUAGUAUUUUAAAGUUAUAUUUUCUUUCAUAUUUUUUUGUGCAAAAAAUAUCAGCCCACAGAGUAAAUUCCAAUAAAGUCUUAGCUCAAGAGAAUAUACAAUUUUUUCGAAGAUUACUUAAUUACCGCGUAACUAUGCGGGAUACGUUUACCCGUGUAUCUUUGUCAGAAGACGUCCGAUUGAGGAAUCCUUUUAAGCUUCAGGGGCGAGGGGGGCGGGGAGGAGAAAAGAAAAUUCUCCACACGAGAAUUCCACAUGAUACGAGAGUUGAUGCAUGUCGGGCGUUACGUGACCCGAGCGAGAAUGAUGAACGGGCCGAAGGAGAGAGAGAAAGAGAGGAGUCAUCGUCGCUGCCUCGCGGUGUGAUUCGCGAAGAUGCAUGUAAUAAUGUGUGACGGCUCGUCGCUCUCGCCGAAAGCGACCCGUCACGACGAGGGAAAGAGAGAGAGAGAGAGAGAGAGAAAAAGAAAAAGAAAGAGAGACCUGCGCCCCUACUCCAUAUCCCGCCGGCAAUUCGAUCUUGGUCGAAGCGCGCGCGGCGCGGCGGACGCGUCGUCGGCCGCAGGUGGUAGGGAUCGACAAACGCGCGGCGGAAGCGCCCGAAGACGUACGAAGGGGGACGACGUUUCGCCGCCGCCGCCGCGCGAUUCUCCUCCUCCACCAGUCGAGUGCCAGCCGCCGUGGGUCGCGCGUCGUGGCGGUCGUUACGUUCGUGCGCCACGUGAGCGAGGAGAGACGGGAGAGAGAGAGAGAGAAGGAACGGAGGUAGUGGAGCGCGCGAUUCGUACGUGUGUGACGACCGAGCACACCAGUCGGCGAACGACGUGCCGGCGGGGGGGAAACGGGGGAGACGUGGGUCGUCUCGUUAGUGAUGGAUUUUCUCUCGUACGCCGCGUAGGCGGGCCAGACGGUCUACUACGCGCAAACGGGGCGCACGCGCCGCAGAGGGGGAGAGCAACGUUCAAAAGACCUCUCUUUCUUUCUUUCUUCCUUUCUUUCUUUCUUUCUUUCUUUCUUUCCUUCCUUCCUUCUUCCUCUCGCUCCCCGUCGUCCCUCGCUAUCGUGGGUAUCCGGAGCCUACCGGUGUUCGCGCUCUCGCGGGUGCGCGCGCGCGCGCGCGCGCGCUCACCCAGGUAUCUCCCUCCUCCUCGCGGCGAAAGACGCGCCGCGUGAAAACACAUCCUCGCCGAAGCGUUCAGUCAAUUAGCCGUAAUGGCACGGCCUGCCGCGUCGGUCUCGGUCAAUUAAGUGGUGAUUAGUACGCGGGCUGUCUCGCAUCUCUCUCGUACCACCGGGUGCCGGCGAUUUCAAACGGUAGUCACGCGCGUCGCGGGGGUGGGGAGAAGGGACUUUCCCGUCGCGACGACAACGACGACGACGACGACGACGACGAGGAGAGGAGCAACGCGCCUCUCGGUGCGAACGUCAGCGUGUCGCAAGGUCGGAAAGGUGGACGCGGCGGCGCCGCCGCUCCUCUCGGCGAUUCGGCGGCGCGUCGGACGCGCUGCUCCAUCCGCGCGCGUGUGCGUGCGCGCGCGCCUGCGUAUCGCCGCCGCGACGGCGGCGCGGGCCCGAGGCCGUAAAUCACGCGUGGACGAGAGGAGACGAGCAGAAGGAGGAGGAGCAAGAGCAGCAGCAGCAGCAGCAGUCGUCGGUGCACAUCCGCGAGGAAGAUGCGCGCCGGCCGGCGGUGAUACUCCGAUCGGUAUAUCGCACCGGGACGACGACUCUACGACCCUCUCGCACGGAUGGUGAAGGGAAGAGAAGGAGGAGUCGUCGGACUUAAAUCCCUCGUCGCGUGGAUUCUCACGUGUGUGUUUCUUAUGCCGGAAGUGUGCACGGUGUGUGCGUGAAUCGGAGAGGGGAGGAAAACCGAAACGGUUGUUUCGGCGAGCGGCAGGCGGAAGAUGCCUCGCGAUCGGCUCGCGCAGGAAACUCGUCGUCGUCGUCGGCAUCGCCGUGCCGUCGGAACUGUCGUCGCCGCCGCCGUCGUCCUCUCGGCGUAGCUCGCCCCGCAACCGUGUCCGCGUUGUUCUCGACCGUCGUGUACCAUCGCUCGGCGAGAGACCAGCUGUCAAAAUGGACUUCCGGGCGCCACAUCCGCUCGUGCACCCCUCGCACGCUGGACACCCUUACUACUAUCCAGGUACGUAAUAUCGCAGACAUUUUACGAAGAUGAUUGUCACACUUUGUAAGUCAUAAAUCUUUAUACCGUAAACACUCAGAGUGUCUGUAGCCAAAGGCAUUCUUCUUUAAUUCGAUUUCUAUAUCUCCGUAAUAGAAAACUCUUCAUUUUUUAUUCAACAUGGAGAUAGUUAAAGAGCAAUGCGAUUGGUUAACGCCGUAUGUGUGUAAAACAUCCAUUGCGAUGGCCACGCGAUAACGACAAGUCAAAUUAUAAAGUGGCGUGUCCGAAAAUUUUUCCACGGCUUUUAAAUGCUUCGUUAAUCCCGAAAUAUCGCGUCCCGGUACAAACGGCGAUACUUUUUCAUUCUCAUAUGUGUAAAUUGCGAAAUGUGCAUUAAAACAGGACGCGCACAAUGUCGAUCGGCUCAUGAUACCCUGCAAACGUGAACUUUAUCAUGAAUUUUCAAUAUUUAUGCCAGUCAUCACGGCUACCGAGUAACUUUUUGCGCUUAAUGACGAUAUGAAUUUUUAUGAAGGCGACAUUUUCAAGCUUUGAAUUGCAUAAACGAUCACUACGGCACGGCGCUUUUUACAAUAUUAAAAAAAGGGUGAACGUGCGGGGCAAUGAGAAAACAUAUUGUCACAUAUUUUCCAUGUUGUUUACGACUUACGAGCAAAUAUUUAUGAAUAAAAGAUGCAGCGAUACGCGAUUUAACGCCGUGUCACGUACGAUUAAUGAAACGGUCACUUCUAUAAUUACUUCUAGGCAGCUCGGAGGAUUUUUUAAUGGUCUACAUUUUUUUCUACACAUACGUUUUCGAGCAAACACAUUUCUAAAUUUAUCUUAGAGAUCCGCGUGCGCCAGAGCGAGUUUUGAUGUACAGAUAGAAUCUUCAUGGUUUCUCGCAGAAAAAUCAUAAAAGAACGGAAAUCACAGGCACAUUCUCCCUUGCUUUUAACGCACAUUUCCCCGUAUUAUCCCGCGUUACAAGAUCAGUAUCGCGAAUUAUAAACCGGUUCGCAGCACGCACACUCUAAUCGCGCGCUCUCCGAGUAAACGCGGCUCAAAGAUAGUCGAGCCGAUUAAUGUUGGCGGCUUCGUCCGUGUUAAACAUCCAGACGUAAUGAUUUCACAGUCGAGCGAUCAGUCGCGCUCGCAAGCUUGCGCGACGAUCUCGCGCUACUGGCGGCGGCGGCGAUGGGCGGCGUGGUAUUGGUGUAGUCGUCGAACAGGGUGCUCUCUCGCACGCACCGUCGCCCCGUAAUCGCGGUUAAUUAACGACUCGGAACCAGUAACGAGGCCGCCGAUUGCUAGCCGAGAGCAACGACCAUGAUUAUUCUCGCCUCCGGGUCGCUUCCGGUUCGCCGAUCAUCGGCCCGAUUGUCAUCGGUGCCCUGAACUUCGGCCCCCUCUCCUUUUCGUUUUUUUUCCGUUUUUAAUCGUCGUGCCCGUUUUUCGCCGGUUUUCCACGCUCUUUUUCCUACGUAUCGCCGGCGGGGCGAUUAACGUUGGCAAAUUAUCGGCGUUUUCUUUUUUUUUUUUUUAUGGUGCGAACGGUAACGCGAUCGAUGACUUUCUCGGGAGGGAUCGUGACGCUUUGAACUGGAACGCUCAAUAGCGUUUGAUAGUUAGAAGGAUGGUCUAUGUAGAUCGCGCGCAAGUGACAUUAUUGCUCUACUUCUCAUGGCGGAGGACAAUGUUGAUUGUUCUGAUUGCGAAGUAACCGGCGUGUACUACACACGCUCGGCGUAUACGUGGGGAGAAGGAAUUGGAACGCGAUAUAUUUGAAAUACAGAUUAAUUGCGCGAUCAGAAUUGGCGAGAAUUCUUGGCGGAAGUGGUUGGAAUAAUAAUGAAUAAUAAUAAUAAUAAUGUUAUCGGGGGCGGUCCUCCUGCAAAGCCCACUCUGGCACUCAGACCGGGUCCAUUGUGCUUCCCCAUUAUCAGCUGCCCUAGCGGGGCCCCGCUUCUUUCCAGAAGCGGAGUAGAUUCCCCACAGGCCGCUGUCUCACCUGGCUUGGUUCCAGAAAACCUGACCCCAGCAGGCGUAUUCUUGGUCCGACCAAUGCUGGGCAGUCCCCAAGAAUGUGGAGGCUAGUUUCCUCCUCUUCACCACGCAACCUGCAGUCAGGCGUAUCACUGUGACCCAAUUUAUGCAGGUGGUAGUUAAGGUCGCCAUGGCCCGUGAGCAGUUGUGUCGCGAGCCUGGCGUCCCUCCUACCUAGAGAUCUUAUGCUCCUGACCAGGUCCCUGCUGGGGUACUCCCCCAACAGGUCCCUAGCCUGUCUGCAUUUGCCCUCUGUUUCAUUCUUCCAGUGUUCAAGAUGCUGGUCCCGGAGCCAGCUCCUGAUCCUCCCCCUGCCCAGACAGAAGGAGAUCCCAACAGCCGGCUCAGGUCCCAACAGCCUUGUUUCGGUCGCCUCCUUAGCAAGCAGGUCCGCCAUUUCGUUGCCCUUGAUCCCCGAGUGCCCGAGGACCCAUACUAGGCCAACAUCAUUAUUCUUCGCCAACUCAUCCAGUACGCACUUGCAAUCCCAGACUAGUCGCGAGUUAAUUCUUGGACCCUCAAGCGCCUUAAGCGCCGCCUGACUGUCCGAGCAAAUUCGGAUGCGCCUUCCCAUCCUAUCGGAUUUUAAUAGGUUCUGGGCACAUCUCAUGAUGGCUAACACCUCCGCCUGGAAAACCGUAGCGUGUUCGCCAAGCGGAACGACGGUUCCUGCCCGGUCGCGCUGACAGUAAACACCAGCUCCAGAGCCCGUACUCGUUCUGGAGCCGUCCGUGAACCAGAUGUUCCCGUCCCGAGGGAUCGGUCCCUUAGAGCCGUUCCACUGUCAGCGCCCAGGGCAAGCUUACCCUGUACCUUCUUUCGAAGGUACGAAUCACCGGCCUCCUAUCCUGUCUCAAUAAUAAUGGAUAACGUUACCGAAAAUAUCAGAUACGAAGUGUCACUUUGAAGCCCCUGACGCGCCGGAGGAGGAGAGAGAAAAAAAAGGAUUAUACGUAAAGCCGUACACCGAGGAUCUCCGGGGAUAAUGGGCGCGAGCGGAAGUGCGACGCUUGAAUUUGCCAGAUGCGGGAUAAAUGCCGGGAUUUCCUGCCGGAGUUUAGCGGAUAAAAUGUGUUUCCCGGGUGCGCGCGGCGACGACGAGUGAUUAAGACCUCGCGAUCCGUCCUCCCCCGCGUCCGUCGCGUCGACGCGGGAGGAGACGCGAGCGGAAUCUCUCCCGAGCCCCCCUUCCUUCUCCCCACGAAAGGGAGGACGGUGGAAGCUUGAAAAGGAUCGCGAGCGGCGCGUUUUUCUUCUUGCUCGCUUUAAGCGGCCGGGCCUGCUUUUCUUCUGCAGAAAAUGCGGCUUUUAAAUCUCGAUCCGCGUCGUUUCUCCGUUGGAAGAGCAGCUGGUCUCUCUUUCUCUCUCUCUUUCUCUCUCUCUGUCUUUCGCGAAAAGAGUGGCUGAGGAAACGAAUAAACAGCGAGGGUGCCAACGGCGACGUACAGAGGAGAGAAAGAAUACGAGUAAGAGAGAGGAGGGGGGGUGGGGGUGUUGUAGGUAUCUACCUCUCCGGCUGAAGGGACGGAUAAGUCGAGGUCUCAGGCGGGAUUCUUUAUUAAAAAUGUCUUUCAGAAACAGAGGGGGCGAAGGGAAAGGGGGGAGAAGGGUCCUCGAGGUGUAGGAUAAUGCGAGGGUGCGAGGGAGUCGGGAACAGAAGUUGAAAUUCUUCCCGAUCUGCCUCGUCUCCGGAUUAAUCUCGCAGAACGAGGCCCCUCCGGACCGUGCUCCUUUCCUCGCGUUCUUUUGCCCCUCGCUCCCUCCCUCGCCAACGGAUCAGACAUUAUUAGAGAGUAUUAGAGCCCUCUCGGCGUAAUUAUGUCCAUCCCGCCCUUCUUUCUUAUUCUUGCCGUAAAAGAAUCGUGCGGACCACUUGGCGGUGGUCGCAGGUGCGAUGCCGUUGAAUAUUUGAAACAAUUGUUUAUGCUAGAUUACUGCUCUGUUUUCUUAUUGAUCUUUGAGUAUUCAUAUCUAAUUAGAAGCUCUAACGAAUCUUUAAAUAAAACCUCUACACGGAGAGAAUUUUAUCUUAAAAUUUACCUCAAAAUCUAAUAAUUAUGUGGCCUCGAGGACUUUUAUUAUACUUUUUAGUAAAAUUUUAGUAAAAUUUUAGUAAAUUUUACUAAAAGUGUAGUAAAUUUUACUAAAAAGUAUAGUAAAAUUCCUCGGGGUCACACAUUAUCCCGCAAAUUUGGAGGGUAAAUUUUAGGAGAAAAUUUUCUCCGUGUAAGAACAAGUGACAUUCUCACAGAAAACAAUUAAUAACUCGCGCGGCUUCUACGCUUUUCUCGCAUUUUACUCUGCGCUUCUCUUCGUUGCUUUUAUUAAUAAGAAUACACUUUGGAGAAUGGAAUCUUCGAAUCCGCGACAUUUCCUUUCUAGCGGGACGACAACGUGACAAAUUAGAGACUUAGCAGAUACGAGAGCAGCAGCAGCAGCGAGUCGCUGGUCGAGCUUUCCCGUCGUUUCCGAACAUCCUAAGGCUGAUAUGUACUUGACGCGAGAAGUUCCCGCGGCCGUUAAUCUUCGCCCUCUGGAGGUUUAUCGUGCGUUACUUGGAAGCCCGGAGUGAAUUUUCCCGCGAGAGAGUAGCGUCGGGGGUGAUAGGUGGGUCGGCGGGCGGUCUCUCUCGACGGUUUCUUUACCUUGCCUAUCAAGCCGGUAGCGCGAAAUGACUCGCGAGCGCGCACGAGAGCUCUUUUUAGCACGAGAGCAACGAGAGCUACGCGAACGUAGGCGAGACGCGAGCGAGAAACGGAGAGCUAUCGUGCGAACGAAAUUCACACGAGAUACAUUUCCCGACGAGAAGAUUUCCGCUCGGAGAUUACGCGACUGUCGUUACGCCGAACGUCUCUCGCGAUAAUCGGGAGAUGCCGUGUUGCGGCGCAAAAGUUCGGCCGAAUUGUUCGAGAGAUCGUUCGAGAGAAAAUAUCGGACCUCCUCUCUCGUCAGCCUUCGUCGCGGCGACGACGUGUAACGGCAAAAUACACUCGGCGAGCGUUUAAAACGGCACGUAGGUGUACACACAAUCGCCCGACGAUAUCGAUUGCCCGGUACUCGAGAGAGAAAAAGAGAGAAAGAGAGAGAGAGAGAGAGAGAGAGGGAGAGACGCGCUCGAGAGCCUUCGUUCCCCAGUCGACUUUUGUUAUCGAAAGAGCAGUGCUUGGCCCCAUAUUUCUUUCACCGUGGCCUGCAUCCAUCCGCCCACAUGUGUGUCGAGAUAAGCACGAGCGCUGACGCGACGUCCUCGUCGUCCUCGUCGCUCGUCGUCGCGAGCGUGUAUCUUUGUAUGCGCGUAAAUUGAUGUCAAUUCGAGUUCAAGCUUUCAGCCAUGGCGAACGCUGCUCUCCUAUAUCGCUGACCGCGGUACGCUUUACAUAUUUAUUGCGCGCUCGCGGCGCACACCUCAUUAUCAUCGUAUUUCCAGACGGUUCUUUGAUAAUUAAUCAACUCGCGACACAGUCAUUUUCAUUUUGGGUUUUUUUUUUUUGAAAUAUUUAUUCGCAACGCUCGACGUAUUUUUAUCUUUCCCCCCCGCGACGUGCGGCGUUCAAAUUUGAAUUAAUUAAAAAUCCCCACGGCAGAGAGACGUGUCGACAAGAUUAUUGCGAUUUAAGUCACGCGAGAAAUCCCCGGUGAUAAAUCUUUAGCUGGUUCGUUGCUCGCGUGCAGUUGCCCGUGCAAAAUAAAUACAUUUCAAGAUGCAUUCCGUCUCCGGGGAGUACGAAUUUAUUCCCGCGAAAUUUAUAGCGCGGCAUCGGUUAGCCCCGUCUUUCCACGGUGGGCCUUAUCUCUUUUCUGUCUUUACAAAUUCACGAAUCGCCGGAAAAAGAUAUACUCCGCCCAGAACGGAAUAAUCUAUCUUCAGCUUUACGGUCGUGGAGUCCUCGGCGGAGCUCUUCGAGUCAAGGGAACUCGGAGAGAUCGGUCGGUGUUUGCGACCCGACCGACACACCGGAUCGUUAAUAUUAAUUAGCGUCGGUGACAUCACGGGGACCACCUAAAUAUUUGAUUACUCGAGAUAGGUAGUGCAUGAGAGAGAGAGGGAGGAAGAGAGAGAGAGAGAGAGAAAGAGAGAGGGAGAGCAAAACUUGCUCUUUGCCUUUUCCGGAUCAUUAGUCGCUGCUAAUCACCCUUUAAAUUCGUUUUGACGUCGGAAAAUGACCUUUUUCGCUCGAGGUUGCCUUUAAAUUAGGCGUGGGACAAUGAGGUGCAAAAUUUAAAAAAAUGCGAAAUUUUUACCUAGCUGUUUAUCUGUGUCAUUUUUAUAAUUUCAUAUUAAGCGCUCGCGAACGCAAAUUAUUCAACUUUCACAUCCAUUUUUACGUAAAUGAAUAGUUCUGAUAUUUCGACGCUCACAGAAUGCGAUAACGUUUAAAAAAAAAAGGUUUAUCUUAUUUGGAUCUCAUAUAUCCAAAUAUUCCAGCUGUGGAUCAAUUUAUGCGCGCGCGUCUUUUUUCUCGUACUCGAUGUCUUUGAGAUGCGCAUCGGAAUAUUCUUCAAAAAGGAGAAGGAAGGAAGUAUCUGUCGGUAGUUUUCAAAAUGCGGAUGUCAUGGCGGGGUUGUGCGGAGGAAAUUGGAGGCUUCUCGGGAACAUAUUGCCCUCUCAAUCCUCUCCAACUACCCCAUAUCCUCGCACCGGGUUCUCCUGCUGGAGGGGAUAUAGGAUGAAAAGGAAGGAAAGCCAGAGGUUUGGCAAGGAGAUCUGGCUGAGUUUAGACUAGUUUCGUAACCUCUGUAUUAUGCUAUUUUCAGUAAAAAGAGGAAGAAGAGAAAAAUUUUUACAAUCUGGAACAAGUUUAUCCAAGGGAAAAUAUACAUAUGUAUAAAUAUGCGCUAUUGCUUGAAAUGGAACACUGGCUGACGUGAUAUUGCAAUUUAUCAAUUUAAUGUAAAAUUACGGAUAUUAUUUUAAAAAAAGGAAAAUUAUGACGUAAGGGAUUCAAUUAUGAAUCGAGUCCUAAUUAUAGGUUUAAUUUGCAAAAUUAAAUAUUUUAUAGAUAUACAUAUAUUAAUAAAAUUGCAGAAAGAGAAAACUUUUUAAUUUUUUACAUUAUAAUAAAAUAUCUCUAUAUCUAUAAAACUUUCUCAGCUUUUAUAGUCGAUAUUUAGGAAAAGAAUUACACGAUUUAACGAAAAUUACUUUAACUUUAAUUGACAACUAUAAUUGGAAUAGUUACUUUAUAUUCUCUCUGACUGAGGAAACCAAAAUAAGAGUUAACAGGUAAUAAUAUAAAGUCCAUUAUGGGAGAGUAUAAGAGUGUAAGAGCGGAGAAAAUAGCAAAUGAACGGAAUCGAAUCGACUUUUCUUAAUUAUACGUAUUAAGCUCCGUCACGGAAUUAUUUAAUCGAAACUUAUUAAGAUCGUUUUCGCGCGGAACGGAUAUCGGGCCACGGAAUAAAGUAGGCGAGAAGAGGAGGAGGAGGAGGAAGAGGGGGGGGGGUAGAAAGAGGAGAACCGUUUAGCUGCUCGUAACUUGAAGGGUGAAAGCGUGUCGUCGGCACCGACGACGGACCAGAAUUGCGCUAUCGGAAAGGGGUAUCGAUCCCACUCGCUUCCGGCUCGCUCGCGUACGGAAAUGAAACAGGUCGACACGCUCGUAUUCGCCCCAGCACCCUCAUACUCGCGACGCGCGCAUCGACUCAAUCGGGGUGAACUUUCGUAAUGAAAGUUCUCGGGACUACAUCCCCCGUGACGGCGAGGGGGGGAGGAAAAGGGGAGGAGAAGGGUGUCGAUCCUCGGAAAAUUCGCCGAAGGUUUGUUCUCCGAGUGCAAGGACUCGGAGAGAGAAAUCUCGGAUGGUGCAGGCGGUGGCGUUAAUCGAUCCCGAAAUUGAAUUUGUUUUAGUCGAAGUUAGUAUUGGGCUCGUGGAUACACACACACACACACACACGCACACACACACUCGAUGUUUUGCGGGUGAAAUUUGAAUGGUCGAUCCUUCAGUUUGUUCGUUGAAUCCUCUUUCUCACGAAGAACUUACAGGGCAAGUUGUCCUUAGUACUUUCACAUGCCUUUUUCUGUCUUUUGGACUCGUGGAAUGGUCGUUCCAAAGUUAAUAGCCGUGUUACUUGGGAAAUAACUAAUAAAGUACCUCCCAAUUUACGUACUAAUUAACUUUUAUUAAUUUUUGAACGACACGUGUGCACAUAUGUACGUUCAUCGAAAUUCUUCGACGACUUCUUAGUCCAGUGUUGGUAUUCCGGCGAACUUUCCAGCGCAGUACGUUCUUUACGACAAUCGACGGAGCAACGAGGAAGGCACGCGAUCGUAAAAUCGGCACUUCGCCGUGACAGAAGUGUGAAAUCGGUCAACCGGUACCAACCGGUUCCCGGCUCCCUCGUCCGACAGAAAAUUGCUAAUGGUUUUCGCUCGAGCGGUCUGGAAAGGGCGGAACCAGCGGCGCUGCUCCGAGAAACGUUACUUGCUUCGAGAAAGAAAGAAAGAAAGAGAAAAAAAAAAGGAGAAAGAACGAGCACAGGGGAGAAGGAAUAAUGUCGUUUCCCGCCGUUUCCCCCUCCCCCCUCCUCCUCUCACCGCGUGCCUCCUUUAUCUGGUAGCGCGCUCAGCUUUAUCAGGGAACACUCCCUCUCCGUGGCGAAGCUCGCGUCGUAGAAAAAAAAGGGGAAAACUCCAGGGUGGAGGAGAGAAAUUAUCCUUCCCUUUCCGGUCGAAAAGGGACCAUCAGCGACGGAGCAGCCGGGCAGAGAGUCCUUUCGCCGUACGUACUUUCGUCGUAUUAAAUUAUGCCGAAGGCGGGCGGACUCCAUUCUCCCCCGGAUAUCGUCGCGGUAACUUCCAAUUUCGUUAAAUGAUCUCGCAUUGUGCGAGAUCGCUGCCGCAACUAAUUGGCUCGCGUGACAGGAUGCAUUCUUUCAGGAUUGCCGGUGAACGCAAAUUUAACGCGUCUAUAAAUAAAUUCGCGAUGAAUCGGCGAGCAAACAGGCGGCGAGUCUGCGACUUAGCGUUUCUCACUCGGUACUAACUUGGAAACUCUGAAUUCUUCUUACCGUAUGGCAAAAAAUAUCGUACGAUGUUUUGUUGUUGAAAUCCCUUGCACCUUAUUAGAUUUUGUGUAUCUUUCACUCUCUCUCUCUCUCUCUUCUUGCAUUAGAUCGAUUAUUCGCAUAGAAAUUACAUAUAAGUAUAUAAAUAUAUCGGCGCAUUUCUUCACUGAGAGAAAUAUUUUUGUUAAAUUAAUAAGACCAGAAGCUACUGUAGCAAAUGAUUUACUGAUGUGAGACAGCAAACAACUCUGUUGUGAAAACAAAUAAUUUGUUACGUUCGAUUUGCUGUUAUAGCCAUUGAACUCUAAGCGAACAAAUGUGAUUUGUGUAUCUCAGACAAUAUGUUUCUUAAAAUAACAAAUGAUUUGCAACGGUAACUGUUUCCUCUUAGCUAUCUCCCCUUUCGUUUUGGCAACAAAAAAGUUUCCUCUCGGUGUUAGUGGUUAUUUGUGGAUUUUAUUCGCGUCAUGUGUGCCGGCGGAAACGUCGAUGCGAGAGCUGUCGACGGAAGGGGAUUUCUCGGAAAGCGGUGCACGAACGCGUCGCGAACGAGAUCGGAGCAUAAUAAUUACGUAAAACAAGCGGGUGGGUUCUCUCUCUCUCUCUCUCUCUCUUUUUCUCCCUCUUGACCGCGAUGAAAAAUAUAUGUUAAUGCACAUAGUACCAUAGUCCAUAAACUGGCCUCUACGCUUUGGCGCCGCCUUCGCGAGCACGUCGACCUCGGUGGGAGGGGCAGGGGUGGCCACGGCAGUGCCAUUCUAAUAAUGAGACGGAGCGGAAACGUCGCUCACGUUCGAUUUGUUCGCGGCCGCGAUACGUCGUCGUAGGGAAAUGUGGUGGCGUGCGACGGAGUCGACUGAGAUCGAUGAUUACGACACCGCGGCGGGCGCGCCGUUUCGUUUCGUUUCGCGAGUCGCGUGACGCCGCGCGCCUCGGCGAAUCGAGCGGAUGCGGAUUUACACACAACGGAGGGGAAAUCACCGAUAUUAUCCCGCUAUCCUUAAUUCGCGGAACGAAAAGAUCCGUCUCGGCUCUCUCGUCGAAACGAGCCAUCGUCGAUUAACGCGCGUUCGCCAUAUAUCUCUCUCUCUCAACUGAUCGAUUAUGUAACUCGUGAAACAGCGAGCGGAUAAAAGCGGUACUUAUGGUAUUUCAAUCGUCGCUUUUCCGGGAGUAAUUAUCGAAUUAUCUCCGCCAGGCAGAAAUGUCUCUUUCGGACACGCAGAAGCGCCGGAUGAUCCGUCUCCAUGAGAGCUGAACCGGGCAGCGCCAUUGGAACUGUAUAACCGGUUUCGAUUUCUAAGACCGGAGUCUCAAUCGAUUCGUCUUUGUCUCGAGUCACGCGGACGCGCGCGCGCGCAAAAAAAAAGGGGGGAAAAAGCCAAACGGACGUCAUUCGCGUAUGUAUGUAUGCACGUACGUGCGCAUACACGUAUACGAACGCACGGACGAUUUGAUGCAUCGUCAGCCCGCAUUCGCGGGCUCCGAAAUGCCGUUGUUCCCAGCGUUUAACAGUGGAUUGACCGGCUACCGUUCUACCGUGCCGGGAUUAAACCCCGGCCGUGUAAAACGAUCGGGGUCCGAUCCGAUGUGUAAACACACGUGUAGAUCCCGGCCUCGGGUACACGGUUAACGUCGGGGCAUACGUGUCCGAUGCGGUGCACGCGUGCAAGCGCAUUCGCGCGCGCGUGUCACCUCACGACCACAUUGCGCGUAUCAUCGACACUCGGCGAUGUGAGCCGAGUGAGCAGCACCGGCAGCGGCUCUUAACUGUCGAGAGUAACGUAACGCCAGAUUUUCCAAUUGUGCAAGAGCCGUUCGGAAUGCUGCCCGGUCUCUCGAAGAGAGACAGAGGAGAGAGAGGAAGGGAGGGAGAGACGAUGAUCCGCGAGCGCGUGUAAAUAUUGCUUUACAAAGCACGCAUACGUUUCAAAUUAAAACGGGGCGUACACGUAAUAACCAUUUAUCCUUCUGAAAUAGUAGCGCUUUUUAUACACGAAAGUGUAAAAUUCCUAUCGCGCGGGUUUUUCCGCCCGAAAUUAUUCGUAGGUAAUCAAAUUAAACUAAAUGAAUUUCGUAUACAACGGAUAUAUACGCGCGCGCACCGAAACGCGAAAUAAAAUCGCGCGAAUUUCGAGGCUUGCCCGAUCGUGUUCGACCAGAAAAAGAAAGAGUGGGAGAGGGAGAGAGGGAGGGAGAGAGAGAGAGAGAGACGGAGGGAGGGAUUGAGGGAAAGAUAAACCGUAUUUCGCUUCCGCGAGAUUUUGACAGAAAUAAAGCGUCGCGAUGGGAAUUUCUCGUAAAUCCAAAAUCUGUUUGGCUCACGGAUCACUCGCGAACCUCGAGGGGGAUUCGCGGACGGAUUGCAUGAAUGGAGAACCUCUGGACUAUACGGUCGCGGUUAUCCCACACACACACACGCACGCGCGCGCGCGCGCGCGUACACGGCUCGGCCGCGCCUGUUCGUCCGCCCCCACGUGGACGUGGUGUUGCACGCACGCACGCACACACGGAAACCCGACGGCGGAAGCCCUCGAGGGCAGAGGAACGAGAACCAUUCGCCGGGGAUGGUCACAAUCAGCUUGCUCAUGCAUCGCGCAUUUGGCCCCUUGCUUCGAUCCGCGUGUGUGGCUCUGUGAGAGAGCACACCCGCGUGCGCCCCGCGGGGAGAGACGGACCGAGUAAUAAUGCUCUCGCACAUUAACCGGUCGCCGCGUUACGCCGCUCUCGCAUACGGGCGACAGCUGCGUUAAAACAAGAGGAAGGAGAGGGAGGGGGGGGAGAAAAAAGAGAAUGCAACAUGUGGAAUAUCAUCGCGGAGCGAUUUCGGGGAAAGCGACUCGCGCGGAAACGUACACUAUCCGCGCGCGUACAGCGUCAGCGUUGGCCGAAAGUGUUUACAGUGUGUGCAGGCGCAAUCGAUAAUUAUACGAGGGAUGGAGCGUCGGUGGGGUGAGAUGGCGAAACUUCCAUUGAAAUGGACAGACUUCAUGCAGUUUGCCACGUGUUGCUGAAAAUUGCCGGGUUCCACUCGGUUGCGCGGAGAUGAGAGAGAGAGAGAGAGAGAGAGAGAGAGAGUCGAACGUAUCGUUUUCGAUGGGAUAUUGCGGGAGAUGGAUUCUUUUGUAAUAUACGUACGAGAGGGCCAUAUCGAACUCGGGCCUAUUAUUGCCACGCGACCACUUGUGUCAAGUGCGAGCGAUAAUGAACGAAUUUUGCGCGCGGAUCGUUACGGGCGUGUUCUUUGAAGCCGAGCGCUUGAUCAAUCGCUUAUCGAGAGAGGCGCCGUGCCCAUGACAUUCCCCCCCCCCACCCCUCUUUCUCUCCGCGUCUCUCACCUUCCCUGUUUUUCUUCCCUCGCGAAAUGAGUUUCGUCGCGAGAUAUAUUGAAUCACGCCGUUAAAAAGCCAGCAUAAUUAUCGUCGCGUUAAUGUCGUGGAAAAACCGCGCGGGGCUUAGAAGGCGCGCACUUUAUCCGCGGUGGUGGCGAGAGAAAAUAAAAAGAAAUUGCAAACGAGAAGCCGCGCGGCGAGGAAGGAGAAGAGAGGAGGAAAAGGAAGUUGCCGGCGCUCCGUCGUUGUAAGGUAGCCCCCCAACUAUUCCCGCCGCAAAGAGAGCGCGGCGGAAUGAAAUAACGGUCCGGAUGGUCGCGCGAAAUGGAAUGAAAAUUCGCGCGGAAACGGAGGAGCGAGAACGCGAAAAAUUAAACUCGGUCUCCCCCCUCCCUUUCCCUCCGCCCCCGGUCCCGUCCGCGUUCCCCUCGUCGCUCUUUCCAUCAGUUUUCCUUUCCGACUACUCCACCACGGCGCCGACCGCGGCUUUUUGUCCCGUCCGGAUGCAGAGAGAGAGCGAGAGAGAGAGAGAGUGAGAAAGAGAGGGAGGGAGAGAGGGAGAGAGAGCGAAAGAGGAAAGAGAAAGCCGAUCUGUGUUUGCAAGCCGAAUGUGAUUGAAAUCAAAACGCCGCGCCACGCCGCCGCGCCCGCGGCAGGAAAAUCGGAAAAACGGCCGAUCCUCAAAUCAACUAUGUACGCGGCGUCGUCGCCGCAGUGUAUCGGCGUAUUGUUUUGCUUCCCGUUCGCUCGUCUCUCUUGCGCUCGGUUAACCGGCGACCGGUUGCGCUCGCGGUCGAACGAACGCGGUGGAAAAAGGGAUCCGCGGCAAAAGCCAGACCUUCCCCGCGAUCUGUAAUUUCCUCCUCAAUUCCAUCGGUCAGCUUCUUCUUUAAUCAUCUAUUCUAUUCUAUUCUAUCAAUUUUGGGAAACUGGCUCGCAUCUCGAGAAACUCCGGAGCUUUCUGAAACAUCGUUCACCGCCGUUAAUUAACGGCUCUGAGGAAUUUUCACGCGGAGUUUUCCUUUUUUUUUUUGUCGCACAUUUUCAGCGCGAUUUUCUCUCAAGAAGGAAGGGAGGAGGGGUGGGUGGCGAGCCGCAAUUUGUCAACGUGACGGUUUUUCUCGCCGAUAAACCUGGCCGUAAAGGGCAAGUGGGGUCCGCGGCGGUGAAUUUAGCGGCGGACAAACGCACGAGGCGGGUAGAAGAAGAUUGCGAGCUAUUAGACGCCGCGUGGGUAUACAUUGUUUCGCGCGCGCGCGCGUCUCGACCGGUUGCGGCAAUCACGGCGUCGUUAGGCGAUCUGCAAUUAUUUUCGCGGCGUGUUAUUAUCGUGUUCAAGGAUGGAAAGGGUGCCCCCGGGCUCCCGCGCCGCGUCGACGCGGCGCGAGGUAUGCCUGCCCACCUGUCUUCCCUUGCUCUCUUGGCCGACCGCCUUCCGACUUCGCCGGCGUUAAUUACGAGGCCGAUAAAGCCGCGCCGCGCAUAAAACUUUAUCGCCCUGUUAAUGCUCUCGAGCGUUUAUUCCCAUUUCCCCGGUAAUCCCGCGGUAAUCGAGGAGCGCGGCGGCGGCCCCGUAAACGCGAGUCUCCCGCGACAUCGAAGGGGAAGAGAAUUUACGCCUCGAUCUCUCACUUUCUCGUCCUCUCUUCUCCGAACGGUCAUUGGAGCUGCCGCUUGGAAUCCGGAGCGAUAUGUUUCCGCGAUUACCCAACAUUUCUCCCGUGCAAAUUUUGCUCCUUUGUUAAUCAAAGUACAAAAGUAACUCGCAUAUAAAACCUUCAGUUACGUAUACUUCAUCUCGCGAUCGAGAAUUAACAUUCCGUUGCCGUUCCUCUCUGCCCUUCGCGACGCCGAGGGUGUUUGAUUCACGGGGACGUGUCUCGGGGGGGGGGGGGAUAUCGGAUAUAUAUAUCAGCGCAGCACCGUGGAGCUCGUCGAGGGCUCCAACAGGUACACGGCGCGGUCCCUCGGGACGCCGCGUACCGCAGCGAGCGUUAUAGGGACCAACCCUUUUAGCGAUUUUCUCACCCCCGUUGUACAUGCUCUCGGUGCCGCCGCGUCGACCAGGGGUGCGCGCACACGCACCCGUGAAUCACUCUCCCCCCAAGUCACGAGCGCGGAAACACGUGAGGCCUCCUCUCCUGCCUCGCCAGGAGGGCGAUAGGGAGGGAAGGGAGAGACGGAGUCGAUAGAAGGGUGCUCGAGAACCGUCGCCGCUGUCGGGCGUCGGCAAUUAGCGCGCCCCGACGCAAAUCGCCCCCUAAUCCGAAGCUUAUUUUCUUCGCGCGCCAUUGAGCCGCCAUUGGGUCGGCCAGAGAGUUCCCACUGCACGACCGCUCGCGAAAAGGAGCAGACACUAAGCGAACGUUACUCCGUUAACUCGCAGAAAUUGUCGACUUUGAAGGUUGCCUAUUUUUCUCUCUCGAAAUUUUUCGUACGCGCAGAAACUCGCGGACAAACGACGGCGAGGAACUCGAGGGUGAGCGUCGCCCACGUAUCUAUCUCCGGAAUGCAUGGCUAAGUUUGUUUAGAUAAAUUUUCUAUUUCCAGAAGCUUUCUCCUUUUCAUCGAUAACCAAUAUUGCCCCGAGAAUUUUCUAUUUCGAAAGACGUGCGUAUGACUAAGCUUGAUUAAAUAGUCAGAGCUUUUCCGUUUCUGAAGGGCUUCUUUUUCGAUAAGUAAUAUCGUCUUGAAAAUUUGCAGAAGGGAUAUUUCAGCGUCAUUUUGGGGCCUUGAACGGGGGGGGCAUCGAGACUGGCAGCGAGACAGUUCCCUGAAAAAGCUCGCGAUACCCAACAAAGUUUAAGUACAAUUAAUGAAGAUAGUAAUAGUAUUAAAUAAUUGCGAGACUCUUUGGUCUGAAAAGUGAGAAAUAAAUUCUUUUUCAAAUAAUUGCUUUCGUGAAUCCUAAACAAAUACGCGAGUGAACGAAGAAAUUCUUGUUAUCGAAGAGAAUCGAUAUCUUCGACGCCAAAAAUAGAAAGGCGGGGCAUCCAUAAUUUAUUGCCGUCGAAAAAUAAUGUAUACGAAUGCUUAAAAAGACUCGGUCAACGUAUAGAAAUCGACCGGGGUGUCCGGACUGUCCCUUCUCCCAUGGGCAUCCGUAUCCUUAACUGUUCGGCCGCCGCGUAUUAAAGGGUUAAACGCCCGGCGUGUAUUCUCGCGCACGUUCACGUUCGCGUUCACGCUCACGUUCGCGGCUCGUACGCGCGUGCAAAGGCACAGACGACGGGGAAUAUUUUCCAUGGCGUGCGCAUUCGUUAUUCGACCGGUCGAUGCCGGGUAAUUGAAUACGCGGCUUUUAUACGCGGCCGGAGGGCGGUGUGUGCGCGGGGCUCAUGUACAGAGCGGCGGGAAGGGAUGGUUGAUUCUCUCUUUCUCUCUCUCUCUCUCUCUCUCUCUCUCUCUCUCUCUCUCUCUCUCUCUCUUCCUCUCUCUUUCUCUUUCUGUGUGACGGGACAAAGGGAGGGUGGCGGAAGCGAGGUACGGGGUGAGUUUAGCACACGGCUCCAAGCCCGAAACACGUAGGAUGGCGGGUAAGCGAGAAGGGUGGAAUCGGCGGCGAGGAGGAGGGGUGUAGUGACUGCGGGGGGCUGAGAGAGAGAGAGAGAGAGAGAGAGAGAGAGACGGCUGGGAGGGAUGGCUCGCUCGGCGUGUUCCGCUGUUCCGGGGUUUUAUAGCGGCGGUCGGAAUUAAUGAGGGACCGUGUUUUCACGGCGACCGAGUGGCGGUGCAGAUUUCAUUUUACUAUUUACCCCGGGGAAUUUAUUUGGCAACGAGCGGCGGGCAGAGUGCGGUACUACCGGUGGUUGUUGCCGGGGGACGGGGGAGGUGGUGGGAUACCAUGGUGCGCGACACGAUGCCGCGUUUGACUGGCAAUUGCAAUGAUUAUCCUGCCGGCGAUCAUCCCAAUUAGCGCGAAUCUUUUUUCUUUUUUGGGGCUUCCCCGAUAAUUCGUGUAAAUGACAGAUACUAAAUUCUAAUGGAAAAAUCAAUUUUUGAAAAAACCUCUGGUUGUUUUCUUUUUUCACAGAGCUCGCUUUUUAUUAAUUCUCUUUGUGAAUCCCGCCACAUAUUCCUCGGGUAAAUGUAUUUUUGGUCUAUCCUUCAAAAAAAUAUCAUCAGGUCAGAAAUCAAAUAGUGCAAACAGGACUCUAUGACGCUUGGAAGUCGUUCCGUCUAAAUAGCCCUUUAGUCGCUUCCCCCUUUUCAUCCACUCUUCCCGCUCUCAUCCCUCACCCUUGCCGGUAGCGACCGUGGGGGUCGUCGCUACGAUCCCACCAGUGCCAGCGAGCAAAACGUUAUUAAAUCGCGGAUUCGCGUCACGUUUCACGAUCUAACGAAUUAAUAUGGAAAUUCCAAAGCACCUUACGAACGAACGAACGAACGAACGAACGAACGAACGGCGUCGACGUGAAAUCCCGGACACAGACACUCCCGGGAGCAACGGGGGAUAGCAAAAGAGAUCGUAUCGCAUUGGCGUCGACAUUCCGACUCCACCCUGGUUUCCCCGAUUUAUUAUUUUUUUUUUUUAUUCAAGUUCCAGGUUUCUCUUAUCAGACGCAUAUGGACGCGUAUUAUUUAAUAUCACGAAGAGAAUUGAAAUAUAAGAUAACCACAUGAAACAUAAGAUAAUUAUGUGAUAUACAUACGUUCGGAGUCGAUGCUUACCCAGAGCAGAGACGUCAAUCGAGGGGUUCGAAACGAGAGUAUACGCACAGUAGGCUAUAAUUUGCAAGCAGAGUCUACUUGGAAUACGAAGUAUUGUAGUUAAACGUAAAAAUUACAGGCCUACCCGUCUCUACGAACAUCAAUUGACGGGAGCCUAUCACGUGUUCGCUAGCCCACGGCGAGGAUUUAUGAUGUAAUUGCGACUUUUCGGCGGCCGAGGUUUGAAUCGCUCGUUCUCUCUCUCUCUCUCUCUCUCUCUCUCUCUCUCUCUCUCUCUCUCUUUCUCGGGGAAGAAGAGCCGUACAAACGGCGGUGAAAUUCUACGCCCAUGAUUACGGGACUAAAAUGAAACGUAUAUUUGGGGUUAGGGCGGAUCAGGGGUUGGAGCCUGGCGGGCCCCGGAGUCGUUUAUAUGGUGAUUCAAUGGGGGUGCUUGGCAAAAUGUCAAGGGACUCGUAAGGGCGGCCUCGGGUUUCGGCGCGUUUCAGCCACCACCACCGCCGCCGCCGCCCUUGCCUUAGUGGUUAUUCGCGCAAAAAUUUCACGUUUGCACCGUUUCGUGCGUUCCGCGAAUGCCGGGGAACGAAUUUUUCGUGAUAACACCGACGAGAACUUUCCCGAGAAAUUCUCCUCAAAGUGGGAUUUAUCGGUCAUGCGAUACCAAAAAAGAAGGAAAGAACACGCGAGACAAGAGACGCGAAAACACACCCACGCGCCGAAGGUGUUUUAUAAAGGUGCACUCGUAUUGACAUGUGCGUCGCGCGCUGUUGAUUAUUCGAUUUGCAGCAGAAGUGGUAAUAUCGUGUAAUGAUUGUUUCCGCCGUGCGUUUCAAUUAUCGUGCACGUCGUUUCCUCGCGCGCAUAUAUUAAAUACAUAUAAAAUGGCGGGUAAAUAUUUGACGCGGUAAUCGUUCCGCCUUUCAAUGCGCAUUAGAGGUUUAACGCUAAUCAGUCGAAGCUUUCUAUCGUUCGCCGCGGCAUUGUGCUCCUGACGUUAAUUGAUGCGGCGCGCGCGCGCGCGCGAUAACGGGAGCGCAUGCCGCGCGAGUAAUUUAACGCCGAGAUGCCUUUCGACCUUGAUAACAGCCGAACCGAUGAAUCGACUGGCCAUUCGUGCCGCGCGUACGACAGAUGUUCGUCCGACCGCGGACGAUCGGCGGUGGCCUUUGUCAAGGCUGCAGUGUGCACGCUCAUCGUUACGCAACGGAAAAUAUCGGCGAGCACUCGGAGAGUGGUGGGUGGGCUCUGAAUUCUGACGGUCGAUUGUUGCCGCGCGCGUACAAAAGCGUUCGUCAUCGGAGGAACGAGAGCAGCGGAUGCGAAAACGGUGAAAAGGUCGCCGCCGGCCAUCAAGGCGAAAAGGCAAAAUCGAUAGGAAAAGUCGUAUCGAUUUUUUUGAGAGAAGAGCCCUUAACUCUCGAUACAUCGGAGGGGGGGGGGGGGAGGACAUGCGCUUAAAAAACGCUCGACCAGAGAUUCGCGCUCCGCAAGGACGGAACUUAAAGGGGCUCCGAGCAAAUUAAUUCGUCUCGAGAUGAAUGCGAAUGCAAACGAACGCAAGCGAGAAACCCCUAUCUCGCUGUCCGCCGUCCGCGUCGUCGGCGGAAUUUCAAAUCGCGGUUUAAUCGCCGCGAGAUUAACAGUUGCGCGCGUUAAAGAGGCGCGGAGAUGAAGACGCGCGCGGCGUACAAUCACAGCCCGCUAAAAAGGGACGGAUCAUCCUCCCCCUCGGGCUUCCCCCUUCCCCCUCCCCCGCGUCCUGUAUCUCGUUCGGCCGCAAAUCGAUUGGAAACGGUCCGCGAAUACAAAUCGCCCGGCACAUAUAAUCCGCUUUCCUCGCGAACCGCAAUUUGUCUUCCCCGGCCCUUUCGCCGUUUUCUGUUAGACGCUGCCCUCUUGCCGAGCCGGUCCUUCUCUCCCCUUCGGCUAAUCCGCCGCCCCGGUUCUUCCGGGAUCGAUUUUUCACGCGAGGCCCCCCCGACUUCCGUGCGACCGAGGGUGCUCCGUACCGGAGAAAGAGAGAGAGAGAGAGAGAAAGGAAAACCGAGAGAGGGAUAGAGGGUUAUGCGAAGAGUCAGGAGAUUAAAUAGGAAAAGGUCAACCACACGAUCUGACACGAAGGGCGGCCACGGCUGUUACAUCGUUCUCUACUGGUCCUUCACCUUCCGUGCUUUUUCACUCUAGUGAACAAAUCCCCGUGUAUGCUUCUUGCUCUUUGCUUUCGUUUUUUUUUUUUUUUUAGUGUAAAUCUUUAAUAAUAAUUUCCUGGUUUUAUUAUUCGAUACAAUUCACGGAGCAAUACUGGUAAACAAAUUUUACUUUCUGCACACGAGCCUACCUUGUUUCUCCCCUUUUUUUUUGUCUGGCUAAUAAGCAUCAUUUUUUACACAUGUUGUAUAACGCUCACGUUCCUCGGGGAAUAUGCCAAGAACGAAACAAAUUUUCUCUCUUUUUUUUUUUUUGCUCUCUGCCACUCGCGUUCGCUUCCACCGGAGGGCACGCGAGAGGGAGUACUGCUAGCAUCGACCAGGACGCCCCUCUCCCUACAUCCGCGAUUCUCUUCCCCCAAGGGUGUUCUCGACUGGUUAUCGAACGUCGACACGACAACCGUCGAGUUACGGAAUCACGUGAGACACUCGACCUGGAGCCUCAUCGAAUUAUCGGGGAUUUCGCCUGCCCUUUUGCAGCAAAACUUGCACCCGCGAUGUCCCGCUCCCCCCCCUAACGAAUGUGUCGGACAGCAGUUGUCGCCCACGUGUGCGUAACCGGACAUUUUUCCCCCGGACGAAUAAAAAAACCGGGCACAACUAUUUUUAUUCCGUGCCGCCACAUCUUUAUAAGUGAAUUAUUACUAGUGAUUCAUUAUAUCGUAAUUCAGUUAAAUGCAAAUUUUGCGACGCAAAUGCAUGUCCGAUAUCUCGAUUUUCUUUUUCGACGAUUUCGAUAAUAUUUGCCAAUUGUUCAUUUAUGUGUGUGGGAUUAAGAAUAGACUAUUUCCAUUUGUUAUAAAUUAUAAUUUUGCAUCUCCAAAUAAUUUUUCGUCUGAAAGAAAGGAAAAAAAAACAGAUUAAAAUAAGAGGAAUUUUUUAAUCAAAUACACACAUCUUACGCAAUUUAAUAUAGAAUUUAUUGAUUUAUAAUGUUAUUACGUUGCGACACCACGCGUUCUCGCAAAAGCGGCAGAAAGUCGUCACCGGACCCUAAUGACAUUUUUCGCUAACCGAUAUCGGUCACCGUGUGCGUACGCGCUGCGUAGGAUCGAUACCUUUCCGGUUUUGUCCGGUAAACUGGUAGCAUCGUCGCCGGAAAUUUAAUAUCGUCAACGACAACCCCGGCGUCUCGUCGGUCGGCGCGCAUCGUAUCGUAUCGCGACGCUCGACGACAGGGGUGGUUAAAGGGAAAACUUUGCCCGGCAGAGAGGCAUUUCCCUCGACUCUUCUUUUUUUUUUUCCCCCCAGCGUUUUAAUAUCGAGGGGCUGCCUCUCUCGCGCUCGCGACGCUCCCCGGCCCCCACGGAGGAGGCCUUCUUGCUCUUCACCCUUACACGCCGCCAUGUUUUCCAACCACCCCAUGUUCACGGCGCAGAUGUGCGCCUCGGAAAAGAUCGCCGGUGCCGCCGCCCCUCUCGUGUCGAAUUUCUCCUGAAACUUAUCUUAAUUUUACCUUGCAAUUACGGCUGGUGUAAGGUUGCGCGAAACGUGUCGCUACUCCUCGCGAUUUUCUUCGAAACUCCCGAAGAAUUUUAAUUUUAAUGCAGCACUCCCUUUACCCCUACAUAUAUAUGCUAAUACGCGGAGAUCAACGUACGGCUCUAUUCAUCGUUAAUUAUUAUUCCACGUGCUUGUGAAAUAUUUAAAUAUCCUUGCAAGACAAGCGCGUUUUUCCCGAAUGGGAAUUUCGCUUUGUUUGUUUGUUUUUCUUUCUUUCUCCGCCUUCGUCUCAAUUGCAUACCGCAGAACUAACAUAAUUUCUCAAAACGGGAUUACAUUGCAUAUCGAUUUCUUCUCGUCGAUAUUUCUUGUGUAUACAGCCCUCGGCGAUUACCUCGUCUUACAGACCAAUAAAAAGCAAACGUACGUGAUUAACAUUUCAUAACGUGUACACGUGUGCCAACGGGAACUAAGUAUAACGACAGAAAGUGACUUUUAUACCGCGGGGAGAGGGCGAGGGGAGGACUCGCGCAUAUAGCAGCCGGCGAGCACUGAGUGCACGUCGCGAGUAAAUUCGCUCGACGAUUUGCCGUUAAAAAUAAUGUUAACUUUCGCCUCGGUGGCACGCGAUUUCGCCGCAGCCGGCUAUUAUCGACCGCGUUAUUUUUACCCUGAAAGCUCUAAGCCAGCCGCCACGACUCGCGUUAAGAUUUCAUGGACGACACUCUCCGUUAACGUACGUAGAGUGCGGGCGCGGUGGCGCGGGGAGGACCGUGAAAAUUUAUUUCGACAGCUUCCGAGGUGACGAACACGGUCGGCGGAACAAAUUGAGGAAGAGGCAGCAGACGGUUGUUGUUUUCGAUACGAGCGAUAUUUCUCCGCGAGGAUCCUCGUGAUUUAAGCAUGAAUUAAUCCUUUGGCUGCAUCUCGGCUGAAAAAAGCGAAAAGAAAAAGAAUUUUUUAUAUCAGUGGAUUAUUAUUGUAUUUUUUUAUUUUCUACACACACACAUACACACACACACACACAAAACGAGAGGAAAAAUACUGAAAUAUAUAAAAGUUACUAUAGUAGCUAAAGGAUUAAAAUAAUUUACUCUCUCUAGUGUUUUUUUAUUUAUUUAUAAUUGCGGAUUAUCUUGUAUACCUAUAUUCCACCACGUGAGACUUCAUAAGUCACGACUUACCGUCUCCCGUUGUCGGACGACGACGCCGCUCCUUCUUUCUCGCUUUCCUCCCCCCCAUCCACCUCUACUCUCCUCUUUGUUCGCGUUUCCUUCUCUUCCGGUCCUUCUCGGGCGUCCCCUUUCACGCGUCGCUUGCCACCGAAUCUCAGUGAGCAAUUCCGACCCCGGGCACGAUCUCCGUCAAUGUUUUACUGCGCAUACCGGAAGCGACCCCGGGGAGAGUCGGCGCGGAGAGAUCCCCCCUUCCCCUCCCUCUCUCUCGCUCGGUUUGAGUCAUGUCUUAUGCAUAAAAGUCUCAUGCAUAAGACGGCGACGACGGCCGCGUGGUGAUAGCGCUGUGUAGCGGUAGUACUCAAUGUAUACCGCCCCUGAUGCUUUACACGGGGUGCCGCCGCCCGGGGGUAUCGGGCUACAACGGUAUUACGAUGGCUCGCGCGAAAUAGUCACAUUGUUUACCAAAUACCGACCGGCGGGCGUGUCGGAAAAGUGUCGGAAAAGAUGCUUCACGGAUUUUACGACGCGUCAGCUAUCCUCUCGGCUGAGAUUGAGGUCUCUCUCUCUCGUCCUCUGUCUCUUUCUUUUUUUCUCACCGCACGGUAUUCGAUGACAAAGUCGAAGCACGAGCGAACGCGAAAUUUUGCAAAAUAAACAUCCGUGUUUUGUAAAUUCUUAUUUCUAUCUUUCUAUGCGCGACGGAAACGAACGUCGCUAAUAUACACGUUAAAAGUUUAAAAGUCGCUGUAUUAAUGACGGAAGAGGACUUCCCGAUUCUCGCGGCCGGAAUCAGAAUUGAAUCGCUUAAUUGAACCGUAAGACUAAUUUGCAAUUCGUUAGACUCGUCGCGAUUAUGGCCGACGACGCGGGGCGAUUGGAAUUUAUCGAACGCGGGGGCGGUCAUGAAUAAGCGUCGACGGGCCGCAUCAGGUACUUGCAUCAGGCGCUUUAAAUAAUUCAUGCCACGCGCGCGCACGAGAGGCAUCAGGUCAUACAUACAUGCGCUCUCUCUCUCUCUCCUCGCGGUCCAGCAUUUCCGCCGCGACGUAUCCGCUCUCUCGCGCGCGACGCCCGGCGUCGCGGCGCCCCGGCUCUCGUCGGGGAUUUAUGCGCCCGCCGUCGGAACGAUACCCCGUUUAUCGUGACGCGAAAAUCGAUUGAACGUUCAUCCCCUCGCGCGAACGAAUGGGGAGAGGAAAGAGAGAAAGAGAGAGAGAGAGAGAAGGAAAGAAGAGGGACGAGAUUCUGCAGGAUAGUCGGAAUUUUACCCUCGCAGAUGGUGACGACUACGGUUCUCCCUUCCUCCAUUACCGCCCCCUUCUGCCUCCUUCCGCCCUGACGUCCUCCCGUUAUGUUUCGCGCCUGCCAGCCGCGUCGAUGGUCUUGUCAACCUUGCGGAAAUCGCUAUCCACCUGUUGUCCGUCCGUCUCUCCGGCUCUUUAUAUCCGCGAAUGCCAAGCUUGGAUAUUUCCCGUCGCGACUUCAUUUUACGCUUUUAACAUAAUUAAACGUGGAAUAACUCGGAAAUUCGGACCUGGCUCACUAAUUAAAAGUCACGAUAAUCAGCAAUGUAUUUAAAUGUGAUAAGCAGCGUUUUCCAUAUCUGAAAACUUGUACGAAAAAAUUUUGAUUCUUAAAAUUGCCAUUUCCAAAAUAUUGGACCCGCGAUUGCAAUGGUGAGUUUAGUAAAAAAAAACAAAGCAAUAGCUUUGGUUUAUUUUGAAAUUUUAUAAGUAUUUGACAGCGCUGUUACAAAUGUAUUAUAUUUAUUAUUUAUUUUAUUGAAUAUCCUAUGUUUAAAAAUUGGUUUAACGUAGAAUUUCAAUGGACACAAAAAAAAAAA